rnacentral:rRNA from 1 species
UAGCGACAGGCUUAACACAUGCAAGCGAGGGCAGCAUAGAAGUAGCAAUACUCGGUGGCGACCGGCGCACGGGUGAGUAACGCGUAUGCAACCUACCUAUCAGAGGGGAAUAACCCGGCGAAAGUCGGACUAAUACCGCAUAAAACAGGGGCACCGCAUGGUGAUAUUUGUUAAAGAAAUUCGCUGAUAGAUGGGCAUGCGUUCCAUUAGGUAGUUGGUGAGGUAACGGCUCACCAAGCCGACGAUGGAUAGGGGAACUGAGAGGUUGGUCCCCCACACUGGUACUGAGACACGGACCAGACUCCUACGGGAGGCAGCAGUGAGGAAUAUUGGUCAAUGGGCGGGAGCCUGAACCAGCCAAGUCGCGUGAAGGGAAAAGAAGGAUCUAUGGUUCGUAAACUUCUUUUGCAGGGGAAUAAAGUGCAGGACGUGUCCUGUUUUGUAUGUACCCUGAGAAUAAGGAUCGGCUAACUCCGUGCCAGCAGCUGC